rnacentral:rRNA from 1 species
GGCGCAAGCGUGAUGCAGCCAUGCCGCGUGAGUGAUGCAGGCCUUAGGGUUGUGAAGCUCUGUCACGGCUCUCCAUAAUGACGGUAGUCGGAGAAGAAGCCCCGGCUAAAAUGGGGCCAGCAGCCGCGGUAAUACGAAGGGGGCUAGCGUUGUUCGGAAUUACUGGGCGUAAAGCGCACGUAGGCGGAUAUUUAAGUCAGGGGUGAAAUCCCGCAUCUCAACUGCGGAACUGCCUUUGAUACUGGGUAUCUUGAGUAUGGAAGAGGUAAGUGGAAUUCCGAGUGUAGAGGUGAAAUUCGUAAAUAUUCGGAGGAACACCAGUGGCGAAGGCGGCUUACUGGUCCAUUACUGACGCUGAGGUGCGAAAAGCGUGGGGAGCAAACAGGAUUAGAUACCCUGGUAGUCCACGCCGUAAACGUUUAAUGUUAGCCGACGGGCACUAUACUGUUCGGUGGCGCACCUAACGCAUUAAACAUUCCGCCUGGGGAGUACGGUCGCAAGAUUAAAACUCAAAGGAAUUGACGGGG